CUCGUAGGCGGCCAACUAAGUCAGACGUGAAAUCCCUCGGCUUAACCGGGGAACUGCGUCUGAUACUGGAUGGCUUGAAUCCGGGAGAGGGAUGCGGAAUUCCAGGUGUAGCGGUGAAAUGCGUAGAUAUCUGGAGGAACACCGGUGGCGAAGGCGGCAUCCUGGACCGGCAUUGACGCUGAGGAGCGAAAGCCAGGGGAGACGAAACG
rnacentral:rRNA from 1 species